AGCAGUAGCCGCGGUAAUACGAAGGGGGCUAGCGUUGUUCGGAUUUACUGGGCGUAAAGCGCACGUAGGCGGAUCGAUCAGUCAGGGGUGAAAUCCUGGAGCUCAACUCCAGAACUGCCUUUGAUACUGUCGAUCUCGAGUCCGGAAGAGGUGAGUGGAACUCCUAGUGUAGAGGUGGAAUUCGUAGAUAUUAGGAAGAACACCAGUGGCGAAGGCGGCUCACUGGUCCGGUACUGACGCUGAGGUGCGAAAGCGUGGGGAGCAAACAGGAUUAGAUACCCGAGUAGUCCCUGUCUCUUAUAC
rnacentral:rRNA from 1 species